GGCUGGAACGUGCCUAGCGCCUCACCUGCUGAAGGUUCAGUUCAUAUCACCCGGAUGCCGAGACGGCAACCUAGACAUACGGCAACUCCAAACUAACAUGGCAGUCAGACUGUGUGAUGUGGCUUCUCUGCUUAGAAGUGGUUCGUGGGCAGCAGAGCCUUGGACUGGGCAGGUAAUAGCUGCCAUGGAAACACAGUUGUCCAAUGGUCCCACAUGCAAUAACACAGGCAAUUGUCCAAACUCCAUAAACAGCUGCACAUCACCUGUGGACUCCAGCAAUACAGAGGACAGCAAGACUAAUUUAAUAGUAAACUACCUUCCUCAGAACAUGACCCAGGAGGAAUUGAAGAGCUUAUUUGGAAGUAUUGGUGAGAUUGAAUCCUGUAAGCUCGUGCGGGAUAAAAUAACAGG